rnacentral:lncRNA from 1 species
AUGGAUGACUACAGAACACGAAACGCGGCCUAUGAAGGCCAUGGGUUGAAACGAAGUACGGAAGAGCGGUCAGAUAAGACUUCACCAUGUUCAGCAAUUUCUCUUGGACCAACGCUUUGUAAUGUGAACGAAGUCUCCUUUCAGCUUUAUCUGGCAAUAAGAAUAUCUCUCCUUCUGGUGACAUUUACGUGGUGCCCUGAACUGCCAGAGCG